CCUACUUGUAGAGGCAUUACAGAUGUGGCUGUUGUGUCACCUGUGCAUCAGUAGGUAAGAGAAAGGAGAAAGGCUAUGUCUAUGCUAAGUGUUCUGCGCAUCUGAAUGACUAGUGACCUAACACU